CAGUCGAGCGGAACGAGUUAUCUGAACCUUCGGGGAACGAUAACGGCGUCGAGCGGCGGACGGGUGAGUAAUGCCUAGGAAAUUGCCCUGAUGUGGGGGAUAACCAUUGGAAACGAUGGCUAAUACCGCAUGAUGCCUACGGGCCAAAGAGGGGGACCUUCGGGCCUCUCGCGUCAGGAUAUGCCUAGGUGGGAUUAGCUAGUUGGUGAGGUAAGGGCUCACCAAGGCGACGAUCCCUAGCUGGUCUGAGAGGAUGAUCAGCCACACUGGAACUGAGACACGGUCCAGACUCCUACGGGAGGCAGCAGUGGGGAAUAUUGCACAAUGGGCGCAAGCCUGAUGCAGCCAUGCCGCGUGUGUGAAGAAGGCCUUCGGGUUGUAAAGCACUUUCAGUCGUGAGGAAGGUAGUGUAGUUAAUAGCUGCAUUAUUUGACGUUAGCGACAGAAGAAGCACCGGCUAACUCCGUGCCAGCAGCCGCGGUAAUACGGAGGGUGCGAGCGUUAAUCGGAAUUACUGGGCGUAAAGCGCAUGCAGGUGGUUUGUUAAGUCAGAUGUGAAAGCCCGGGGGUUCAACCUCGGAAUAGCAUUUGAAACUGGCAGACUAGAGUACUGUAGAGGGGGGUAGAAUUUCAGGUGUAGCGGUGAAAUGCGUAGAGAUCUGAAGGAAUACCGGUGGCGAAGGCGGCCCCCUGGACAGAUACUGACACUCAGAUGCGAAAGCGUGGGGAGCAAACAGGAUUAGAUACCCUGGUAGUCCACGCCGUAAACGAUGUCUACUUGGAGGUUGUGGCCUUGAGCCGUGGCUUUCGGAGCUAACGCGUUAAGUAGACCGCCUGGGGAGUACGGUCGCAAGAUUAAAACUCAAAUGAAUUGACGGGGGCCCGCACAAGCGGUGGAGCAUGUGGUUUAAUUCGAUGCAACGCGAAGAACCUUACCUACUCUUGACAUCCAGAGAACUUUCCAGAGAUGGAUUGGUGCCUUCGGGAACUCUGAGACAGGUGCUGCAUGGCU
rnacentral:rRNA from 1 species